rnacentral:rRNA from 1 species
GGACCCGCACAAGCAGCGGAGCAUGUGGUUUAAUUCGAAGCAACGCGAAGAACCUUACCAGGACUUGACAUCCUACUGACAGACCUUUAACAGGGUCCUCCUUCGGGCAGUAGAGACAGGUGGUGCAUGGUUGUCGUCAGCUCGUGUCGUGAGAUGUUGGGUUAAGUCCCGCAACGAGCGCAACCCUUGUCAAUAGUUGCCAGCAGUAAGAUGGGCACUCUAUUGAGACUGCCGUGGAUAACACGGAGGAAGGUGGGGAUGACGUCAAAUCAUCAUGCCCCUUAUGUUCUGGGCUACACACGUGCUACAAUGGCUGGUACAGAGAGACGCAAGACCGUGAGGUGGAGCAAAUCUCCAAAACCAGUCCCAGUUCGGAUUGUAGGCUGCAACUCGCCUACAUGAAGUUGGAGUUGCUAGUAAUCGCAGAUCAGAAUGCUGCGGUGAAUGCGUUCCCGGGUCUU